rnacentral:rRNA from 1 species
AUUAUCAAAUUUUCAACUUGAGAGUUUGAUCCUGGCUCAGAACGAACGCUGGCGGCAGGCUUAACAC